rnacentral:tRNA from 1 species
GCGGCAGUGGCGGAAUGGCAGACGCGCUAGAUUCAGGAUCUAGUGGGCACUGAGCCCGUGGAGGUUCAAAUCCUCUCUGCCGCACCA